GGGCGAAAGACCGAUCGAACCUUCUAGUAGUGGUUCCCUCCGAAGUUUCCCUCAGGAUAGCUGGCGCUCUUUGAGUCUCAUCUGGUAAAGCGAAUGAUUAGAGGCAUUGGGGUCGAAACGGCCUCAACCUAUUCUCAAACUUUAAAUGGGUGAGAGCUCCGGCUUGCUCGAACGUGAAGCCGCGAGAACUCUCGGAUCUGAGUGCCAAGUGGGCCACUUUUGGUAAGCAGAACUGGCGCUGUGGGAUGAACCAAACGCCGAGUUAAAGCGCCUAAAUCGACGCUUAUG
rnacentral:rRNA from 1 species